GGUUCUUCACAUUACCACUAGGAAAUCUCCUUGUGGUGAAGGUAUUUACCCAAAGAACGAACUUAGUUUUUUUGAAUUUCAAUGCUAUGUCAUAUCCUAAUCAAUUUAUGUAUGGCCUAUAGUGUUGAGGAAAAUUCUGUUGGUUUUGACCAUGUGUAGCAAUAUGGUAUAAAUAUCUCUGUAUUUGUGAUGCUUCUGAGUGUUUCUUCACUAUACUCAUGUAUUGCUAGAAAUUUGAAUUGCACAAGAUAAAAGAACAUUUGUGAUGUGGGGAUAAGAAAUUGAAAGAGUGGAAAUGCAUCUGUUGUGCUGGUUGAAUGGGCCUUUGUGAUCAAUGGUACUGCAUUAUACUUUCAAAUUGUGUACUGGGAUCAUAAUUUUAAGUUGCUUUAAUACAGUAUCAUGGAUGUCUGAUAUUGUCUGUUAUGCAGGUAAGUUGAUGUCUGUUGUUAUCAGUUAUACAACUAAGUUGUAUCAUAUGUGUUAUCCUAGUUGUAUCAUACAUGUUAUCCUGUUGUACAAGUUGUCAUGCAUCUAUUUUUUUCUGUUAAGUUGGACUUUAUAUUUCAGAUAUUUUCUUUACUUUUAUGCUUGAUCUUGAUCAUGGUAAUUAAAUAUUAAAUUUUGAGUUGCAUUUGUUAUUUGUUUUUCCUUAGCAGAUCACUUCUUUCCUAUCAGCCAUGUAAAAUCUCACAAAUAGGCAUUAUCAAAUAUUUGACUUAUAUGCUACGAUGAUUCGUUUUUGUGCAUUGAGAGUACCUAACUUCUCUUUUAAACAUUGUGUGGAAAGUACUAGGACUAAGGUGUAAAUUGAGUGACUGCACAAGUUCACAGACAUUUGGUUUUUAAUUGGUUAAGCUUUUAAUGUAUGUUCUUGAUUUUUGAAGUUGUUAAUGGUCUUUAGUUCUGUGUAGCUUAUGUAUUACUAAAGAUUGUUCUACUCAUGCAAUAAAUAUUUUUAACCUUCUGUUCUGUUUGCAGGAACCAAUACAUGGGACAGAUUUGAGCUUCGGGUC
rnacentral:misc_RNA from 1 species